UACAGAGGGUGCUAGCGUUGUUCGGAAUCAUUGGGCGUAAAGGGCGUGUAGGCGGUUUGUUAAGUCAUGUGUGAAAUCCCUCGGCUCAACCGGGGAACGACGCAUGAAACUGGCAAGCUAGAGUACCAAAGAGGGGGGUGGAAUUCCCGGUGUAGCGGUGAAAUGCGUAGAUAUCUGGAGGAACAUCAGUGGCGAAGGCGACACCCUGGACUCAUACUGACACUGAGGUGCGAAAGCGUGGGGAGCAAACAGG
rnacentral:rRNA from 1 species